rnacentral:lncRNA from 1 species
UGAAGCCUAAAUCUAAAAACCCACCGCAUACUCACUGUAAAAUCUAAACCCACGACAUCCUCUAUUUGCCUCUAGAAAUUUAAUAAAAAAUUAUUCCCCUUUUUUGGCUUAACCUCAUCAUCGAUUGCUAUCAAAACCUAAUUAAUUCAAUUUGCCUGUAGUCCAAAUCUCUUCAUCUGCGACAAUAUUGAUUUUUGGUCAAUAAAUUCCGACUGAAUCUUCUACGUAUAGAUUUUGUGUUCUUCAAGCAGUUUUAAAGGUAUGCGUAUCAGCUUUGUUUUAAUCAUUAAUUAAUUGUUCAGCAUUGUUUAAAUAGAUUUGGUGUUUUAAUUGAUUUUUCUGAAAUUCAAAGAAUUAGUUUAAUAUGAACCAUUGGAUUUAUAUGACAGUUUUAAUCUUUAAUUAAUUAUUCAAAUAUAUCUUUUCUCAAACAGAAAUUUUGCGUUUUUAAUGAUGCUUGAUUAGUAUAGUUUUAAUCAUUUUCUUUUGUUUCCCCAUUUUGAACUUAAUGCAGUCGCUGGCGGAUUGUGAAGUUUUCAUGAUAAUUUUAGUUUACGUCUUUGAAAGAAAAAAAAAAGUAGAAUUAACUACAAAGAAAUCUUGUUUUGUUGAAAUGGGCUUUAUCAAUUGUGACAUUAUUCUUAGGGGAGUGAAAUUGGAAUUGGGAUUGUAAAAGUUUAUUUUAAUAUUUGUUUUGAUUUUAAUUUCAAGGUGAUGAAUUUCAUUCAAUGAUCUGCUUGUAAUUUAUUUCUUUGUAAUUUACAAGUACUUUUUUGUGAUACAAGCAAGGGCGAAGCCAUCUUUGAUACCGCACUCUGGAUUUUGGAAGGACAUUAGUUUUAUAGAAUUUCAUUCAAUGAUUUACCUUUGUUUCGCUUGGGACAAGGUUCAGCAAGAUUUUCAAUCUCUCAUUAAUCUUCUCUUCUUUUUUGCAAAAUUGGAUAAAAUGGUAUCAAAAACCCUUGACCGACUCGUUGAGAAUGUACAUAACCUUAUUCCGAUCAUGUCAAGUUAUUACAUACCAUUGCAUAAAUACUUUGAGGAUCAGUUGCAUAACCCCUGCUAUCUCUUGCUUCUCUAUUUGAUUUCUGACUAUCUGAAUUUUCCCCUUCAUUUAGUUCAUGAGAACCAUUGUAGUCAUCUUUAGAGAUACCACUUCCUCUACUAUUGGUCUCUUUUAAUUCUUUGUUGCUAUUUUUAGUUACUUUCUUGUUCUUCUUUGACUGGACCAUCCCUGGUUUAUUCCUUGAUGCCUGCACUUACCGAUUUAAUUAAUCCUUUAGAUAUAGUAUAAAAACGUAAGAAGGAAAUUUAAACAUAGUUGAACUGAUUCUACUCACAUCUCCAAAAACACUAGAUUUCUUCAAUUUAAAUUGGGUGAAUGAUUCAAUUUUAGUUGUUGGUUCCGAAUUGAUUUCAAGUGCCUCCUUUUAAAGUGCAUAUUAUUUACUACAAUUUCUGUUAGGUAAUAAAUUAUGAUGAAUGAAAUGUGCACCUAAACAUUAUCUGAUGUAUUUCUUCCAUAUUGUCCUUAAAUAUUUCAUAUUAACGGUAAAAAACUAUAUUUCUUCGUAUUUUGAAUCAUUAAUGAUGAAGAAUUAUGUUAUCAUGUUUAUUUUCGGCCUAAUUUUGUAUCUUAUUGUUUUUCAAUUGAAUAGAGAAUUUUGAUUAUUAGUUAAAAUAUCUUGUAGGGGCCGUACAAAGAGUUGAAGAUAAUAGAGCUACUUUCAAUUCAAAUUGCAAUAAGGUAAGUUCAUAAAUUCAAGUAUGCCAUCGUCAAGUUGCUUGGCAGUACAAAAUCUUUAAUGAUGUUAUAAACAUUUGUUUUUACUUUUGUUGGUGCUUUGAUGUAUCUUGUUAAGUGAACAAAACUAUCAAUUCCAUAACUGAAUGUUCACAUUAAAUUUUUAUUAUAUUGAUAUGUACUUUUUGUAUAUCAUAUCCUUUGUAGAGUCAUAGAUAGAGGCUACAUGACUGAUAGAAAUUGGAUACACAAUCCCGAUACAACUAGUGCUGAAUAUUUGUUAGGGAUUGAGGAAUUCGUUAGCGUUGCAAGCAACCAUAUCGAUCAUCGAGGUCAUUUUGAGUGCCCAUGCCAAAAGUGUAAUAAUUGCUCUUGGAGGCCAGUGAGUGAAAUUCGACAACACUUGGUGUCAAGGACCGCAGCUUUACUUAGCCCCUUGACACUAUCGCAGCCGCAGUUUGCCCAACUUCGGCCGCACAUUGUAAAUAUUACUUCAAGUUUGAGUUGUAAUUUUCGUUUCAUUGUAAUAGUUAUUUUAAUUGUAAAAUAGCUCUGAUAUUGAUAAAAGAUUAGUAUGAUUCCUCGUCUUUUAAACGUCUACUCCCGUCACUUGGGUUUUUGUUCAGAAUGCUAUUAUAGGGGGUAUUAGUCAUUCAAAAAUCUUUCAAGCUCACUGGUGUCCGCCCCCUGCACCAGCAUUUGUAAUUUUCUGCUUUCAUCAAUUGUAAUGUUCAGUUUUCAGCAAUCAAUGUUCAAUUUACUUUCAAUGUAUUCAAAUUCUCAAUUGUAAGCUUUCUACAAAAUUGCAAUCAAAUUUUCUUUCAUCCCGACGCGACCGAGAAAAGGCGGAAGGUAGUCUAGCGGAGCAGACUACUGCCGCACGGUAUCCCUUUCUGUGCCAAGAAGAAAGGCACCCCGUGAAACUUGGUCAUGUAUGGGAUGUCAUACAAUUACACUAAAUGGAAUCAUCAUGAUGAACGAUCGGGGGCUGUGUUAGGUUCUUAUACCACUAACUUGUUUUGCAACUCUAGUUUGAUUGAUGGCAUUGAUUGUGAUAAUGAUCAAGUAAUGGAUAUAAUUAAUUAUAUGUAUCGACAUGCCUCGUUCCAUCAUAAGCAAAAUUAUUAGAAAUAGAUGAAGUUUUACUUGAUGAUGAUACAUUGGGAAAUAAUCAGACAUCUAAAAUGUGUAGACAAGAGAUAGAUAACUAUGAAAGGUUGUUGAAAGAAGCACAAAAGGAACUUUACCCUGGUUGUAAAGAUUUUUCUAUGCUAACAUCGAUUGUAGAGUUGAUGCAAUUGAAAGUGAGGAAUUUGAUAACCAACAAAUGCUUUGACGAGCUUACAGGUAUCUUGAAAAGGAUGCUUCCAAAAGAAAAUCAACUGCCUCCUACUCAUCAGGUUAUGAGGCAUCCAGCAAACACAAUUCUAUGGAAGAAAUUUGACAAGAUUUAUCCCAGUUUUGCAGCCGAGUCACGAAAUGUAAGGUUGGGCCUUACAACAGAUGGUUUUAACCCAUUUGGGGAUAUGAACAAACCUUAUAGCAUGUGGCUAGUUGUGGUUGUUCCUAAUAAUUUGCCUCCUUGGAUGUGCAUGAAAAAGGAAUUCACCAUGCUAACCUUAUUAAUUCCUGGCAAGCACGAACCUGGUAAGGAUAUUGACGUUUAUUUGUGCCCGCUAAUUGAUGACCUAAAAGAAUUAUGGAAAAUUAGUAUGCAUACAUAUGAUAAGGCCUUUGAUUCCACUUUUAACUUACGUGCUGCUGUGUUGUGGACUAUUAACGAUUUACCUGCUUACAAAAAUUUAUCAGGGUAGAGUACUAAGGGUUAUAAUGCAUGCCCUAUCUGUAAUGAUGAUGGAACAUCUGAAUGGUUCAGUGAUAAGGUUUGCUAUAUGGGGUAUUAGCGAUGGUUGUCUUGGUAUAUUGUGUGGUGCAAUAUGAAGGAAUCCUUUGAUGGGAAAACUGAAUUUCGUGCGAGACCUAGACAAUUAUUGGGUAAUGAAAUUUUGUCUCAAGUACAGAACCUAAACUUUUGUCAGAUUGGUAAGCAUCCUGAUAACCCAAAUAAAAAAAGGAAGAUGACACUUGAGGAAUGGAAUUGGACUAAGAAGAGUAUUUUCUUUGAGCUAGAAUAUUGGCCAAAGUUAAAAAUUAGGCAUAAUCUAGAUGUAAAACACAUUGAGAAGAAUAUUUGUGACACUAUUAUUGGGACAAUAUUGGGUAAAGAGGGAAAAUCAAAAGAUACAGUGAAGGCUCACCAAGAUUUAGAAGCACUUGGAAUAAAAAAAUCUUUAUGGUUAGAUUGGAAUGGAGAUAAAUGAGUUAAAGGAUAUCCUUUUCGAUUUUUCACAAUGAAACCAAAUUUAAAGAGAGAAUUCCUUCAAUUUUUGAAAUUUGUAAAAUAUCCAGAUGGCUAUGCCGCAAUAUCUCAAGGAAUGUGGUAGUCGAAUCUGGAAAAAUUUCUGGAUUGAAGAGCCAUGAUCAUCAUGCCCUGUUGGUAUUUGAAUAUAUUUACCAAAAGAAGUGGUUGAACCAAUUAUUUAGUUGUCCAAUUUCUUUCAACAAUUAUGUGUGAAGAUAUUACGCAUGGAGGACAUUAAGAGGUUAGAAGAUGAUAUUGUGUAUAUAUUGUGCAAGUUUGAACAAAUUUUUUCACUGGCUUUCUUUGUUUCCGUGAUUUAUUUAUUGGUACAUUUACCUGAAGAGGCAAGACUUAUAGGUCCUGUGAGUUAUCGAUGGAUAUACCCAAUAGAAAGGUACAUGUUUAUUAAUUUUUCUCAAUUGUAAGUUUCUAAAUCAAUGCUAACUAGUUGAACAAUGUAUCUUACAAAAUCUAUUUAUUUGUAGAAUGUUAGGGACAUACAAAAAAUAUGUGUAGAAUUGGGCUCAACCUGAAGGAUCCAUUGUGGAGGCAUAUGUAACACAUGAAUCUCUUACUUUUUGUGCCAUGUACCUUCAAAAUAUUUAGACACCUUUUAAUCGACCCGAACAAAACUUUGAUGGUUGCUCUAGACAAAAGAAGCUUUUUGUUUUCUCCCAAGUAGCACGACCGUUUAUGAGUAAUUCAAAAAUUUCACUCACAAAUGAUGAGAUAGAGAUUGCUCAGUGGUUCAUAUUGAACAAUUGUGAUGAGGUUCUUCCUUUUCUAAUGUAAGUUCAACACCUAUACAUUUAGUUUGAUUAUUUGUACUACACAUACAUUAGUAUAUAUACAUAAACUUGCUGUGUAGGGAGCAUGAUGAAAUGAUGAAGAGUGAAAGUGAUGUGGACGUACAGAAAAGGCAUAGAAAAUUGUUUCCUAAUUGGUUUCGUGAACGCGUAAGUCAUUAUCCAGUUGUAAUAAGUUUCACCAUUUUUCAUGAACUUAAUGAUUUUAAUACUUAAUUUUCAUUAUUAUUUAAUCUAAAAUUAGGUGAGGAGUUUAGGGAAGGCAAAAUCAUCCUUGUACAAUGAUGAGCUAUUUGAGUAGCAAGACAUCCUCUUCGAGCUGAAACAUACCAAGGUUGUAUUGUGAAUGGAGCAAAGUUUAUAGCUGCAAAACGAGAUGAUAAGCUAACCAUGUAAAAUAAUUGUCUUUGUGCUGGCAAUCAUGAUACCAAUAAUGUAGACUUGUAUGGAAAGUUGAUAAGUGUGGUUGAACUACUGUAUAGACAACAUUAUAAGGUUGUUCUAGUCAAGUGUCAUUGGUUUGAUACAAACCCUCAUAGGUCAAGAUCAAUUAAACACGACUACCACUUACUAUAUGUAAACUCUAGUAUUCGGUGGUAUGAUACUGAUCCUUACAUUCUUGUAAAAAUGGCAAAACAAGUGUCUUACGUAAACGAUCCCAAAUCAGGUGGUGGUUGGAAAGUAGUUCAAAAGAUGGAUCACGGGCACAUAAAUGAUAUAUCAAGGAAGGAGAUGUAUAAUGGCAGUGAUGACAAUAAUGAUGUGGCGUAUCAAGAAACUUCUUCUUCGGAUGUACUGAAUAUCACCGAAGCUCAAAAAUAUGAUGUUAUUCAAACACUACUUCAUAUAGAUGACGUUUCUCUUGUGUUGAUUGAUCCAAAAUCCAUUAAUUGAUGCCUUGUUAGAGGAAAUGAUAGAGGCACAGAUAAUGAAAGUGAUCAAGACAAUUGAUGCGAACCCUGUAACAACGUUGACUAUGAACCCACUACUAGAUUGUUCCAAAAACCCCAGAAAAGCCAAAUAAAAGGUUUGGAGAUUGACCUUAAAUUACUAAACCAAAAAAAAAAAAACCCAGCAAGAACGUUGCUUGAAGGACCCCUUGAUUACACAAUCUAAGACCCGCACCCGAUUUGUAGAACACCAUAAGAAUAGUCUUGAUAAGUUCAAUGUGUUUAAUUAAGAACAAGGAAUUGAAAGCAAAAUUGUCUUUCAUAUUAAAUCUCAAAUAAUGUCUCGUGAAAAAAAAAACAAUGAAGAAUUGAACUUCUAUUUAUACUAGAUCCUAGAAUAGAAGUUGAAAAGGAAUAAAAUUCUAAUAAUCUAGUAGAAUCUGAAAAAUAUUAAUCCAAUAUCUCUAGAAUUUGACUAAAAAUAGAGCUCUAAUAAAAGAUGAAAAAAAUGCGAAAAAGGAAAAAUUCUGCCUCAUCAUAUGAGGUCACAUAGUUUAAUUGAACUACGUCCACAUAGUCCCUGCCUCUAUGCAUGCGGUCGCAUGCCUAUUAUAGCUAUGUGACUGCAUAGCUAUCACUUUUGUCCUCGACUUCGUCUGCUUGUAUUGAAUUGACCCAUUUUGAUUCGUCUCUCAACCCAAACAUGAAAGCUUCCUCGUUUUGCGUCUCGAACAUCGUCCCAUCAAUGGUUUCUUGAAAGAGCAAUCAUAUCACUUGUUUCACUUGCUUUGCUCUCGAUAGCGUUAUCGAUCCGCCUUCGAUAGUCAACGGGUCUCGACUUGAAGUCAUUGUCUUCAAGCUUGAUUCUUGGAUCAUAUCACCCCCUCUCUUCAAAAGGAUUCGUCCUCGAAUCUACACCUGCAUCGAAAAGGGAAAGAUCAGCAACGUUAAAUGUAGUCAAUACAUUAUAUUCACAUGGAAAGUCCACUUUGUAGGCAUUAUUGUUGAUCUUCUCGGUGACUUGGAAAGGAUCAUCUCCCUGCGGUUGCAAUUUGGACUUUCGCUACUUUGGAAAACGUUCCUUCUUGAAAUGCACCCACACCCAAUCUCCAGGUUCAAAUGUCAUACGCUUCCGCCCUUUGUUUGCCUUUGAUGCAAUGAGCUUGCUCUUUUCUUCAAUUUGCAUAUGAAACUUCUCAUGAAGUACCUUUACCAUCUCAGCUUUCCUCUUACCAUCCAUGUUACCUCGUUCAUUCACAGGCAAAGAAAAUAAAUCCAAUGGAGUUAGUGGAUUAAAUUCAUACACAAUUUCAAAUGGUGAAUAAGAAGUAGUCGAAUGUACAGUACGAUUAUAAGCAAACUCAAUAAAUGGCAAGCAAUCUUCCCAAUUUCUUAACUUCUUAUUAAUCACUGUUCGAAGCAAUUAAGUCAUGGUCCUAUUUACUACUUCAGUUUGACCAUCUGUUUGUGGGUGACAAGUUGUAGAAAAUAACAAUUUAGUUCCUAACUUAUUCCACAAAACAUGCUAGAAAUAACUAAAAAAUUUAACAUCUUGGUCCGACACAAUACUCUUAGGGACUCUAUGCAAAUGUACUAUCUCUCUAAAGAAUAAAUCAGCAAUGUUAGUGCGUCAUCGAUUUUGUAACAUGGUAUAAAGUGUAUCAUUUUACUAAACCUAUCAACCACUACAAAGAUAGAACCCAAACUUUUCUUUGUCCUAGGCAAACCCAACAUGAAAUUCAUAGAAAUAUCUACCCAAGGUUCACUAGGCACAGGUAAAGGUGUAUACAAGCCAUGGGGUAGAACUUUUGAUUUAGCCUGUUUACAAGUUAUGCACUUCUCACAAAUCUGUUCUACGUCACUACGCAUUUUAGGCCAGUAAAAGUGUUCCCCUAACAUAUCUAAAGUCUUUUAAAUCCCAAAAUGACCCAUUAGACCCCCCACCGUAUGCUUUCCUUACCAAUAAUUCACGCAUUGAACAAUUUGGAAUGCACAACCUAUCUUCUCUAAACAAAUAUCCUUCAUGUUUAUAAAAUUUAUAAAUAGCCAUUUUAGCACGUGAAUUAUAAAUGUUUGAGAAAUCAAUGUCAUUUUCAUACAUGCUCUUAAUAUGCUCAAAGCCAAGUAAUUUCGCACUUAAAGAGUUAGGAAGCACAUACCUUCGUAAUAAUGCAUCUGCAACUACGUUUUCAUUACCUCGCUUAUACCUGAUGACGUAUGGAAACAUCUCUAUGAACUCUAUCCACCUUGCAUAUCGCUUGUUCAACUUAUCUUGACUAUUCAUCACUGUAGGAAUUGGGUUCAAGCUUUCCCCAGCCCCUUCUCAUCAAUGGACUCCUAAUGUAUACCGUAAGUGCUUUAGGGACUUAUGAUCAGUGUGUAUCACGAAUUUCUUAGGCUACAAGUAAUGCUGCCAAGUUUCUAAUGCUCGAACAAGGAAAUAUAGCUCCUUGUCAUACGUUGGGUAGUUCAGUGCAGCUCCACUCAACUUCUUGCUAAAUUAAGUAAUAGGUCUCCUUUCCUGCAUUAACACUGCUCUAAUACCUGUNNNUAGGCUACAAGUAAUGCUGCCAAGUUUCUAAUGCUCGAACAAGGAAAUAUAGCUCCUUGUCAUACGUUGGGUAGUUCAGUGCAGCUCCACUCAACUUCUUGCUAAAUUAAGUAAUAGGUCUCCUUUCCUGCAUUAACACUGCUCUAAUACCUAUCACUGAUGCAUCACACUCAAUCUCGAAAGUUUUAUCAAAGUUAGGUAAUGCUAAAACAAGUACUUUACACAAUUUAUUCUUAAUGGUAUUAAAUGGAAGUUCUUAUGUCCCCCCCCCCCAAUUGAAAACCUACUCUUUUCUUAACGAUUUCAGUUAAUGGUGUCGUGAUUGUGCUAAAGUCUCUCACAAACUGCCUAUAAAAACUAGCGAGACCAUGGAAGCUCCUAACCUCAGUUAUACUUUUAGGUGUUGGCCAUUCUUUAAUAGCUUUAAUCUUUUGCUCAUCCACUUCUGCCCCAUUAGCACUAACAACAAAUCCUAGGAAAAUAACUCUAUCCAUGCAAAACGUGCACUUUUUAAAAUUAGCAUACAAUUCUUCCUUUCUUAACACAAUAAGCACACACUUUAAAUGUUCUAAAUGCUCACCUAAGUCUUUGCUAUAGAUUAAAAUAUCAUCAAAGUAAAUUACAAUAAAUUUUCCUAUGAAAACACGUAGAACAUGAUUCAUUAAACGCAUAAAUGUGCUCGGUGCGUUUGUGAGAUCAGACGGCAUAACCAACCACUCAUAUAACCCAUAUUUAGUUUUAAAUGCUGUUUUCCAUUCAUCACCCUCCUGCAUGCGAAUUUGAUGGUACCUGCUCUUAAAAUCAAUUUUACUAAAAACACAAGCACCAUGCAAUUCAUCAAGCAUAUCAUCUAGCCUAAGUAUAGGCUGACGAUUCUUUACCAUACUGCCCAAUUUAACACUAUGUGACCGCAUAGUGUAAUCCUAUGCGGUCGCAUAGUUCAAUUGAACUAUGUCCACAUAGUCCCUACCUCUAUGCAUGCGGUCACAUGCCUAUUAUAGCUAUGCGAUUGCAUAGCUAUCACUUUUGCCUCCGACUUCGUCUGCUUGUAUUGAAUUGACCCAUUUUGAUUCGGCUCUCGACCUGAAUAUGAAAGUUGCAUUGUUUUGCGUUUCGAACAUCAUCCCAUCAAUGGUUUCUCGAACGAGCAAUCCUAUCACUUGUUUCACUUGCUUUGCUCUCGAUAGCGUCAUCGGUCUGCCUUCGAUAAUCAACGGGUCUUCAAGUUGAUUCUUGGAUCAUAUCAAUAAUAAUGGCAAUUUGGUUGAUAAGAUCAGCAAACAUGGUGUGGAGGACAAUAAUUUAGAAGAGUAAGAUCAUUACGUUUACCAUAUAUGUAUACAAUCUAUAUUUAAUAGUACAUAUGUUCUCUAUAAAGCAUCUAGUUAAAGCUUUUACAUGUUCCCCUCUUAGUUUAGCUAUUGCUUUGGUAUGGUCUAAUGCUUGUAUUCUAAUUAUUACUUUUUUUAUGUCGAUGAAUCUGAUUUCUCAGAAGAAACGUUCUAACAACUCACAUGUACUUUCAGUACCUAAGAUGUCCCUAUUGACUAGCACAAAUGUGCCUCCACUGCUUCAAAAAUCACGAUCUAAUAGCUCUUCCACUAAUAGGUUUGUACCUCUUUCGUUGCGACAUUCAUUACAAGCCAAUAGGUUAGUACCUCCCCUAUCCUGACAUCUCAAUCCCCCAAAACUUCUCUACACCAGCAUCACAAAAUUGUGACUCGAUAAACCAUUGAAAAUAUUUUCACUUGUUUUGGUCCUGUAAUCGAGACUACUCAUGUACUUACACAUCCUGAGACACCAACGAGGACUUUUCCUAAUCCAGGUACAGAAUAUGGUCCCUCCAAUGACAAGCUUGAUCAACCACCUUCUCAUCAUACUAGUGUUGUUCGUCGUCACCCAGGUCGUAAGCAAGGCUCAGGUACUAUGCAAUUAUUUAAUUUUCAGUUCUGAUUUACAAUAAGCAUAAGUCAAACUAAAAUGCGGGAAAUGUAAUUCUCUAUGAAUAUGUUUCAACAAUCAUGAUCAUUGAAGAGAAUGGUGGUUUAAGAAUGCUAGCUGUCUAUGAAUGUGUUUAAGAGGAUGUUUUUCAACAAUCAUGACCAUUGAAGAGAAUGUGUUUCAACAAUCAUAGUUUGUUGUGGCUAUGCCAUUUGGAUUCUGGUCCAUUGAAGUUGUCUUUUCACACAUGCUUAAUUGCUGGAUCAAUCUUGAUUAAGGAUUAAGUACAUCAAAAUCCUAUCUCAAAUAUGCUCCCACCCAUAUCCUGGCCGCGUACUUUUUAUAGAAUUUAAUUAAAAUGAAAUUUGAUGACCACCUUGCAAAUCAUAUUGGUAUUUCCAUGAAUGUAUUGUUUGAACACUCUCUGAUUGGUAUUGCCAUGAAUGCUAUUAUUUUGAAGGAAAGAGCUCUUGACAUUGGUGUAAUAACAAUAUCUCCAGAAUUCAAGCCUCAUGUUAGGUUUUUGGAAGCAGGAUGGGAUAUUUUGGAAUGUGCUUUGAAGUUCUAUAUAUUUAACAGAAAGAAAAAGAAUUUAAUCUAAAUAUACAUUGAAUAAUAUUAAUAUAAAAAACAAGUAUAUUCAAAUUUUUUAAUGUCUUAAUCUUUUAUUUAAGUUCAUUUGACUAUAUUUACAUAUUUGUUAUCACUCAAAACUGGAUACUUCUAUUUUUGGUAAGUGAUUAUUAGCAUUUUAUGAAUUAUGGAAAGGUAGUUAAGAGAGUCGAAAGUAAAAUAUCUCAACAAGAACUGUUGUUGAACCACCUAAUCUUAAGAUCUCAAUGGACUAUAAGCAUAAAGAUGUUAACAAAUAAAGUAAUUAAACUUUCCAAAUACGUUAACAAUUCAAACUUUGUAGCUUUUAAUAUGACAGAUAAAUUGUUUGCAUCGGUAUGCAAUUAAUUAAAUUACUACUGAUUUGGUUGGUUUUUCUUGGACUCUAUUGCCAUUAUUUGCAAAGAAUUAGAAAGCCUGGGGUAUACACUAAGUUGAUGAAGUGUCAUCUGACCAAUCCCAAGGUCUCACUCUAUAGCUUUUACUUUUACCUUUGCAUUUUUCAUUUUUAUUUUUUGGACAUAUUUAAGACUAUUUAUGUUCAGAUUGUAUGGUAAUUUCUAGUUUAUAGCAGGAAUUAAGGAAUUUGAAGAUAAAAUAAACACCCUAUGUCUAGUGUUAUUUACAUUUAAUAAAGGUCAUUGAAUGACCAAUUCUGUAAGGCCAUUUAGAUUUCAAGAAAAUCUGCUUUCAUUGCUUGACUUGGCUCUUAAAUUCAGUUAACAGGUCACAUUAAGUAGUUUAGCACCUGGUCAUUUUUCCUUCUGGCUUUCUUAAAUUCUAUGCGUCAAGGCAUGCUUUUGAUGCGCACUACAGGACUCGAUAUACAUUCCUAUCUUUCUUAAUUCUAUUGAAUGUUAUUCAGUCCACUUUAUCAAACAUGUUAUCCUUGUUUCCAUUCGUUGUGUAUCAAUGCGUAUUGUAUCCUUUUCUUUGCUGAUCGACCAUCUAUUCUACUGCAAUGGCAUCCAAUUUGCAACUUUAUCCCCUCGCCCCGUCCCCAAAAAAAAUAAAAAGAAAUAAAUCAAUCUUUAUACAAGUCAUUCCAGAGGGGCUGCUGAGCUUUCUUAAUUGAGAAAUACAUAAAUUGCCGUCGAUCAACGAAGCUGAAAGUUGAAAAAUGCUGUUCCUAAAUUUGCACUCCUUGUCCAACUGUUAGUUGACCCUACACCACCCCUACCCCCAUUUUUUACGAAUGGGAUAGGUAAUGAGAUUUUCACUUUAAUCUGUAAAAUGAUUACACCAAAAAUGAAAGUUUUUGAUGGGAUAUGCUCCAUCAUACUAGUUGCUUAGAUGAAAGUUGACUAUCUUAUUUUUGGUGCGAUUUAACACGAGCAAAACCAAACUCAGCUGGGUGGUUCGAUUCAUCUCAAAAUCAGAGCCGGUCCUGUGAUUGAUGGGCCCUGAGGCGAGCGAUGAAAAAUAGGCCCCCCAACGACAAAAUUCAAAAGUGUAUUAUGCGACUCAUUAUUAACUUAAAAAACUAACAUUAAAACAACAACGAAAUAUAUCAUAAAAACGAUUUAUAUUAUAAACCAUCAAACCAAAAAUUUCCAACUAUAGGCAAUGUCUCAAGUGGAUGACAAUGCUCAACUGUCUAACCAUUGGUCAUGAACAGCAAUAGAAAACAUUACCAACUAUCCCAGUUUCUGGUAACCAACCUUCUGCUCUCAUGACUUAUCAUCGAUCAAGUCUUUGACACUUUUGACCAGUUAAGCCUAAACUCAACAAACUUUAACUUUGAUAUUGCUGCAAUAUUUUCCCCAACGGAUGCUGCCUUCACCUCUUAUAUUGAAUCUAGAUAUGCUAUUUAUAUUGAAGCUGUAUUUAAUUUCUACUAAGACUAAGAUUUUUAGCAAACUCAUACCCCUAUCAGAUCAAUCUUUAAAAGCUGUUCUUGUAUUGAGGAAGGGGGAAGAGUAAAAGAACUAGAAAUUAACAGAAGGAUUUUCAAAUUUCUAGUUGAAGUUGAACUUAAAACCUUAUAAUAGAGAAUGAUCUAUAUUGAUGCAGCUCAUGGAAAGAAGUGAUUAAUGAUGAGUAUGAGUAAAAUUAUACAAAAAUAAGUGCUAUUUAAGUGAGUUAGAAGUAUACCAAUACAUCAAUGCCAGAGGGUGUUUAACAACAAGCUAGAGCAUAAGAAAAUUACACAGCUACUAUUUAGAUUAUCUUUCAACAAAUGAAAUGUUCAAUAAUCUUUUCACUUGUUGAUUGGGAUAAAUAAAUAAAUAAAUAAAUAAAUAAAUAUAUAUAUAUAUAUAUAUGGAACAACAAAGAGAUUUCAAGGCAAAUGGAAUUUAUUUGAAAAAAUAUACCUAUAAUCGCCAUUUUAUACCUAAAUAAACAGUUGGGUCCUAGUAAAUAGAACAUAUUCAUACAAAUUAUAAAAGAACAAUAGGAAGCUAACAAAAUCUGAGGACCCUAAACUCUCAACGUCACUUUCCCAAGGAAGCAAAACCCCACCACUUCAUUUUUACUUUUUUUUCAAGAUAAAAACUUCUUCAUUUUAAUAUACCCUUUAGAAACCAGUAAACCACAAGGGGCUUCUUACAUAUACCCAUUUUAGUAUACCCUUAGUGCGGUAGAUUCUUACACAGUUACACUCAAUAAUCAAUUCAUGUAACAUUUUCGAGAAGGGUAUUGUUUGAUUUAAGUAGAGACCAUACCCGCAUGGGCUGCAUCAGUUAACUAAAGGCAGUGCUGUAGUCGCUAAGUAGCACCGGAGGUCCGGAGCUCGUCGACGUCGAGCGGUCGAGAUGCGAGAAGAACAGCAGCAGCCCUAGCCCCUAAAUCGUAUUAUUCAUUUUUCAGAUUUUGGGAAUUUAGAAAAUUUGGGUAAAUGGAUUGGGUUGUGAUAUUGGAUUUGGAUAUAUGAGUUGGGUUGGAAUUUUAGGGUAAAUGAAUUGUGGAUUGGUGGAUAAUUAGUUUUGGGCUACUUAUAUUGUUUAUUAAAUUUUUUUUUUUUUUAAAUUUGGGCUAAAAAUAGGCCCCUUAAUGAUCUUGGGCCUGAGGCGCGGGCCUCACUGGCCUCGCCCCAGAACCGGGCCUGCUCAAAAUCAGGAUUCUUUUACUUGUAAGGUCAAUUUGAAACAAUGGGACAUUUCUGGAUAAGCUGUAGCAGGCACUUGUCACAAUUAUAAAGAACCACUCAUAUGAAUACGAGUUCCUUAUUUAUGUUCAUUAUUUUAUCUCUUUAUAAAUUAAUUUUUUUCGACUAUUUUCUAAAGAGUAAGUAUUUAAAAAGAAAAAUUGGAAAACUCAUGUGAUAGGCAAAGCAGAAAGUGAAAAUGUUCAUCGAGCUGAAGAAAAUAAUGAUGCAUUGGACGAUGAAAUAGACGAUUCUGAAGUUAGGGUGUUUAUUUUAUUAAUAGUUAAUUUUCUUACUUUAUGAAGUUCAUUUACAUGUUCGGCUUUUAUUAUUGGUUUUGCAGGUAUAGAUGUAGGACAUUUGCCAAGUACUCUCGAUGAGCAUCCUACUCGAGGAUCAUGUAAACAAAUAAAGACAUCUCAUAUCGUUCGUACAACUAGAGAGAAAAUUCGAGUUUUAUACAAUUCAGUAAGUAGACGAGCAACAAGUUCUGAAGUACAUAGUUUGUUGGUUCAUGAUAUCGGAGCCAUCAUUCGGUCACACUGCCUGAUGAAUACGGGUUAUUGGGAGACCAUUUUUCCAAGUGAGAAGAAGGACCUUAUGGAUGAGAUCACGGUAAGCAUUUGUAAAUGUGUUUAUGCUGUUGGAAAUUUAAUAGCCAAAUAAAACUACAUGAAUCAAUUAAAAGCACAUUACUCAUUUUAUUUUGUGAUUUUAUUUAUUCUUACUUUGUGGUUUGUUAUCUAGAAUUGGAUAGUUUGUUCCAAUUAAGGUUUCUUUAUAUUUUAUGAUUUUUUUAAUUAUGUCAAUUUCAAACGAACUUCGAGAUAGAUUUGAAAAACUCAAGAUCGGCAAAUUAUAUUAAUAGACUAUACAAAGGGAGGUAUAGAGAGUUUAAGGCUGAGUUGAGUGCAUACUAUAAGUUGCAGAAGACACAUGAGAAUGCAUUAGCCAACCCUCCUUUGGAGAUGCUCGAUAGAGGUGUAAAUCAAUGGGUGGACCUGUGUAAUCAUUUGAACUCCAAUAAGAUCAAGGUAUUUAUUAUGUAAUUCUUUACCAGUUCAUAGCUUUUACUUCUAAUUUUGUUAUGUAAUAUCUAUAUAUUUUUCUUUGCAGAAAGCAUCAUCAGUAAACAUAGUGAAUUGAUCGAAGAAGAAGUACAAUCAUCGCACUGGUUCACGUCCUUUCUCAUACAUAGUGGAGAAGAUGGUUGAGGUAGUGAAUUUAUCAACACGACAUAAUUAAAUAAUUUUGCUACUAAUUUGAAUAUAAUAAUUGAAACAUGCAUUUUUUUCUUAUUAGGAUGGUUCGAAGUUUCCCGAAGUCGACACAUUUGAGUUUGCUUAUUCUUGGAAAAAUAAGUAUUGGACUUAUAAUGCAGCUAAAGCUCAACAUGUAGGAAAUACUCAACGUUAUAAAAUUGUUUUCUUUAUUAGGUUUUAUCUACCAUGUUAGACACAAAAUAUACAUUGCAAAGUUAGAUUAAAAAAGGCUAGAAAAUUAUAAUUAGAUUAAGUAGUAUGACAAUUUUUGUAUGCUAUUUAUAGGGCUAUUUUGGAAAUGGACACUAUCAUGGUCAAAAUGUUUUUGAGAGAUGGUUAUAUUUCUUAGCUCGUGCUAUAUCUCUUGUGUACAGUUGUGUUAUCUCUUGCAAACUUUGAUUUUAUGGAUUGUUUUAUAUAUUUUGUUGGUUGUGUUUGUAGGAUAAGAUGCUUGCCAAAGAGCAUGAAUAUCUUAUAGAGAAGGCAAAGGAACAGUAACUUCCCAAAGAUAUCCCUUUGGAGGAGAUACCGAUAGAUGAUCCUGAUGCUAGAAUUAAUAUAAUGAUGUUCGUUCUAGGUAUGAAUCUUGGGUAUUGGGAUAUCUUCUUCCAAUGUACACAAUUUGGAGGAGUUGGAAGCAAAACGUGGUGAAAUUCAUUUAUUCGUGUUUUGAUGAAAUAUUUUGGAUUCAAUGUUG